GUGUAAACUUAAUUAUGUAUAAAUCAUAAAAAAAAAAAAUUUCAUUAAUUUUAUGUUGGUGAUCUGCCUGACAACCCAGUUGGAUCUGACUGGGAUGGUAAGUAUGUCCUUACAGCGUUAAAGCCCUCCUUUUGUAAGACGGCAUAGCACGCCAUAACAUCAGGAAAAGGUUAAUACUAUACAUCAUAUAGCUCAUUUAUAUGUGCAUUGUAGUCUAAUAUGUCAUGUAUACAUUGUAUCUGUUUUUAAGUUGUUUCACAAACUCUAAAGGAUACCAGGCUUUAGUAAUGAAUGCCUUAGUGGCUCUGAAAUAGAACGGCCAUACUAAGUUUGAAAUCUUUCUCCUGUCUAAACACGUUUGAGGUCUAUUCACUAAACACUAAGCAGCAACCAAAAGGUGUUUGGUUGACACAGUUUGACUGUUUUAAAACAUUUUAGUUAUUUACACAAGACAAACACGGCUUCAUCCAAGUUUGCUCUUCCAUGUCACAGCAGUUCCGUUGUCUGUUUAAAUUGGACAAAUCGUUAUGUGAUGUCACAGAUUAGACUAUUCACACACAAAAACAACAAAUUGCCUUCAUUCAGAUGUUCCAAUCCCCCCUGAUACAGACCAAGAUAUUUGUACAUGAAAUAGGGUGAUUAGCUAAAGUGGGAAUGGUUGGAAAUUUAAAGUGAAU